UGCACCUAUAGCUCAGUAGGAUAGAGCAACGGACUUCUAAUCCGUGUGCCGGGGGUUCGAAUCCUCCUAGGUGCGCCAG
rnacentral:tRNA from 1 species